UAUGCCUUUGUUUGCCCCCUUUCUCCCACUUCACCAGCUUCUCCUUCAUAUCCUGAGCCUGGCUCCCCAGACCCCUUUCCUGCUUCUCCUGGGCCAGUGUAGAAGUGUUUACCCUUGAGAAGACAGUGCGAGAGCCUGAAGCAGAUGGUCCUGCCGAAUGUCUGCCCAGUGAGCUGUAAAGAGAAUUAAAGCAAAACUUCAGCAUUUGUUCUUGAGAAAGGUAGAAAAUUAAAGGCACGUAACAUCGUAAUGACAAAGAAAUGAACAAUGGACUGUUUACGCUGGAACAUCUGGUAAAUAUUUUGAAAACCAGUCAGAAUCCAUCAGCUGAAAGUUUACACCUCAGACGCCAACUGCUUCUUCAUCAUCAUCAUCAUCCGCAGCAGCAGCAGCGUCUGAAACGGUGAAGGGAAACAACGCUGUCCAGAUGAAACCUGAAGUUCUGCUUAAACUGGGACAACACAUGGAACUGACAUAUACACAUUUUGUAACGGCGCAUGAAAGCAAACAGGGCCAAGGAUUUAAGUCCCCAGUUUUAGAACAAAGCGCAGAUCUACAGGUCUGAAAUCAGCCGCACAACUCGCCUUUCCUUUCCUUUUUCAGCUACAUAUAGAGCAAAAGUAAGAUCUAAGGACUAAAUGAGAAUACAGAAGGAAAUGCAAUCUCAGCUUCAUACACACCCUUAUUGUGUGUGUGUGUGUUUUCUGAUUAUAUUGUUUGGAAGAUACACAACGUAUUUGAAACAUCAUUAAUCUUCCUGCUGUAUGUAGCUCUUUCUUUCUCCCUAUCAGAAACAUUAUGUUUAUUUAUUUACCGCUCCGUGUGCUUCCAUAUUCACAUCUACACUAAUUAAAGCCCUCCGUGUGCUCAGUUUGUUUGCUUUGAAAGCGAUUUCUCGAGCUAUUGUGAUGGGAUACCGAGGCGUGCCACUGUCAUUAGGCGUGUGUGUUUAUAUAGGAAGGGUGGCAUGUAUUUUUAAUAUACGUUCUCUUUAUUAAAAAGCAAUAAACAUUUACAGACACAGCAAACACUCGCUUUCAUUUAUAAGGACGGCGCCCUGCUUCGGCGCUUAAAUAAGAGUUAGGUUCGAACAGAGAGAGCACAAAAGGUUUCUGUAGCUAGUAGAUCUGAUUAGCAGAAUGUGGAGUGUAAAUUAUUAUUAUUAUUAUUAUUAUUAUUAUUAUUAUUAUUAUUAUUAUUAUGUUGAAUUCUGGAUUCUGAUAGAUUUAAGAUUUUUAGAUUAAAGGUGGGGUCUCCGUUGUUUGAAAGCCAAUGUUGACAUUUGAAAUCACCAAAACAAACACGCCCCUAACCCAAAAAGUCCCACCCCUGUAUCGAUAGCCCCGCCCACACAUACAUACGCAACCCAGGAAACUAAUGGAAAGAAAUGUGACUUUAUCGUAGCUGUAACAAUACGAUUGAAGAUAAACAAACAAGCAAAAAUGACACACAAGCAUAAUCAUGCAAAGGACGGCGUCCCAUCAGAGGCCUUCCCUCUCCUUCAGUUCUCUCCAGCGCUGGAAAGCUGAUCCUAUAUUAACACGUCAUACUUCUUACCUUAUCGUAAGCCUUUCUUCGCUUUCUUUCUUUGUUUUUAUCCUCCAUGUCAAUGUUAAAACCGCUUUCUGCUAACGUCACACACGAACACUCUCUCCGCCCAUAUUGACAAGCCCCGCCCCUUUCUGCUCAUUGGCUACACGUUAGUUUUGUUUUUGUUUUGUUUGGCAGCCCAACGCAGUUUUCUGAAGCAUUUCUCAAACAAAGGAGACCCCACCUUUAAUGUCUUCAUUCUAAUAUGUUAUGGUUUCUAUAGUAACAGUACAAUGGAUGCUCUAGACAAACGUAUUAAAAACAU